rnacentral:rRNA from 1 species
CACGUAGGGCGCAAGCGUUGUCCGGAAUUAUUGGGCGUAAAGAGCUCGUAGGCGGUCUGUUGCGUCCGCUGUGAAAACUCGGGGCUUAACCCCGAGCCUGCAGUGGAUACGGGCAGACUAGAGGUGAGGUAGGGGAGAAUGGAAUUCCCGGUGUAGCGGUGAAAUGCGCAGAUAUCGGGAGGAACACCGGUGGCGAAGGCGGUUCUCUGGGCCUGUACUGACGCUGAGGAACGAAAGCGUGGGGAGCGAACAGG